rnacentral:lncRNA from 1 species
AGAAAGUUAGAUACAAAAUUCAUUGUCAAGGUAAUUUGGAAACAGAAAAUUUUGCUGGGAGCUUGGACCAAUGUAGUAAUUUUGAAGACAAAGUCAAGUCUUUAAUAAAUUGGACUGUAUGUUUAACUCAAACCCAGUGAUUCCAUUCCUAAGGAAUACAUUCAAAAGGAAUCUCCAUGAGCAAUUAAUCAUAGAUAGUGGAAUAUGAAAGGAUGCUAAAAGUAAUAUCUGAUUUACAGUAGGCAUAAGCCAUGACUGCCCCCACUCAGACCUGAAUAUCUUGUCACCAUCACAUGGAAAUCUUAUGCAAGUUCAAAAUGACAUCUAAAGAAUACUCAUUUCAUUAUUGUUUGAAAUAAUGAAAAAUCAAAGAGCCUAGAUCUAUCAAUAAAAUAAUGAGAUAUCAUGGAACAAUCCUAAAUAGCACAUACUAUCUACCUAUUAACAUAGAUUUCCCUCAAAAACAAAUUUGGAAUAAAAAAUAAUAUUUAAUAUAUGGAUUUAUAUAUGCAUAUGAAACAUAUAAUUCGAAAAAUUUUUUAAAAAUUGCUCGCUAUUUUUUCUUAAAUAGAUGUAGUGUCUUAGUCUGUUCUAGCUGCCAUAACAGAAUAUCAUAGACUGGCUGGCUUAAACAACAGAAAUUUAUUUCUCACAGUUCUGAAACUUGAAAGUUUAAGGUCAUUGUGGGCUCUGGAGACAACUUUCUUCUUGGCUUCUGGACACUCAUAUUCUCACUGAGCCCUUAUGUGGCCUUGCCUUGGUAUGUAUGCACAGAGAGUGGGAUCUCUGUAUCUUUCUCUUCUUAUAAAGCUACCAAUCCUAUUGAAUUAGGACCCUGAGUUUAUGACCUUACUUAACCUUAAUUGUCUCCUAAAAGCGACCCUGGAGGAAGAGUGCUGAGAAUGAGGAAGUGGGGCCAAAUCUGGAGGCCUUGAAAGCCUGAAGGUUUGUUCAUCUACGAUCAGUGUGGAGGGGCGUAUUUAAGAGUUUGAAAAACAUAAUUGUGUUUAUAAACGUCACUCCAACUAUAGAGACUGGAGGCAUAACACAGGAGGCAGGAGACAAGUCAGAGAUCUGAAUCCACAGUCCAGGAAAAAGAUGAUCACAGGCUCUACUAGGAACUGAAUGAUAAAAAUAAAUAUAUGCAAGAGAUAUUCCAGAAGCAAAGCUAAAUAUAUUUGAUGACUGUUCAAAUGUUGGUGGUGAAGGAGGAGAAGACCAGUGCACCUCACAUAGCUGUGCAGGUUGUACACUGAGCAACCCAGGAGUGCCAUGGUCAUCACGUCUACAUGGAAGUCUCGUGAAGA